rnacentral:tRNA from 1 species
GGGAUUAUAGUUAAAAAUAACAUUUAAUUUGCAUUUAAAAAAUAUUGAUUAUCAAUUUAUCUCA